AUGCUUCGAAGGCUUUCUAUAGACAUGAGAGCCAGCGUAGACUGCUGCUCCCACAAGGGCUAGCGGACAAGGGCAGAACCCUCUUCACGGAGAAAUGGACCUGGGGCUCAGGGUGGCAGAGGAAACGUUUAUCAAGCAAAGCUUUGAGUGAUGCUGAAAUCCAAGGACACUGCUGAACCAAGAUCAAAUGGGGAGCUGAGAGCAGAAAGCCAGACAGUGCAAGCCAGAUGGGUUGCCAAGCCAAGGCAGGCAGAAGCUGUGCUGAAUCCAAGGCGUGGAGCAGGGACUGGAAGCCAGGAGGAUGAGGGCGGAGACCAGUGGUACCUAUUAUUCACCAGCUACUAUUCCUGAUCCUAGGAGCUUAAAUUCCGCUCUGAGCGUCCCGGUUCGCCUCUAAACCUCGGUGACAUGUGGAGUUGGACAGGCCUGGUUCAAAGAGAGGUCCAGCCACGUACCUGCACUGCAGCCUCGGGCAAGUUACCUGACCUCCAUUUGCUCAUCCAUAAAACGGAAUUAAUAAAAGAACUUACGUCAAUAAUACGUAAGUAAUGAAAAGUAAACCCAAACUGACUACAGACAUUUCUGCCUUUUCAGGGAGGGAGGCAUGCUUCCUAUCAGUGAAGAAGUACAUUUUUCCUCUGCGCCCUUCCCCAGAGAGGGAGGAGAGAGCAAGAGAGCACCAGCACGUGGGUGGGUGGGAGGUCUGCCGUGUAACAGAGCACAUAAAUGGCCUUCAGAGAGGCUGACGCUUGGGCCAAGCAAAGCUUGAGCUCGAGGGGGCCAGACACAGAUGAGGAACGGAGUUGGGAAUGGAUGGUUGAAGACGGGAAGUCACAUUGGCAGGUUUGCCAUUGGCUUGAAGCUGAGAGGCAGCCUCACGCACUGCAUGCUGGACACAAGGUCUUAAAAAAUCUUGAUGAACCAAUAAGCCGAGAAUCAAUAUCACUCGCAUUUAUUGAGCACCAACUAUGGGGAAGGCAAAAUGCCAGAUAAUUUCAUUCCUUAUUCUUUUUCUUUUUCGCUCCCCAAAUCCCCAGUGCGUGGUUGCAUAUUCUGGUUGUACGUCAUUCCAGUUCUUCUGUGUGGGACCUGCCACAGCAUGGCUUGAUGAGCAGCGUGUAGCUCAUUGGUCGGCGCCCAAGAUCCAAACUGUUGAACUGCGGACUGCAGGUGAAAAGCCUGCGAACUUCACCACUUGGCCACAGGCCGGCCCUCAAUCCUUCCUUAUUCUUUUUCUUGCCCCUCUCCCCCUCCAACAGAUCUGUGAGGUAGGUCCUGCCUGUGGAAGCAGCAGAACUGGGAAUCUGAGCCUUGCUCCUGGCCCGGGGCUGUCUCUGAGUGCUCUGCUGGACUGAAAUGGGAGAGAGUUACCACGGGGGAAGAGAUGCAAAAUGUUUAUCCAGCUCCCUGUCUAUCUGUUUUUAUUUCAUUUGCACAGGAUGGGCCUAAUAGCACUUCAGGGGUUUCUUUGGUUUUCGGUUUUUUUAAGUUAGCCAUCUACUGAAGAAAUUAAUUACAGUCCUGGGCUGCAUUCUUAGAGUUAUAACAUUUAGACCAGGUGAUGGAGGUAUUCUUUUUAGAAUUCUUUUACUCUUUGUGUGCUAGUGGUCACUAUGCAACACGAACACGGCCAAACUGACUGGCUCCAGAGUAUCCAGUUGAAAAUUCAGUUGUUCAGCUGAGUGGUUCCAUUGUCCUCCCAUGUCCCUGUGACAGCACUUGCCACCAAGGACGUGCUGAAGUUGUUCCUUCAAAUGCCUCCUCUCCCCAGUGGACCCUGCGUUUCUUGAGGGGAGGAACUCUGCCUUCGUUUCCGUAUUCCCAGGGCCUAGCAGAGGACCUAAUGGACAGUAAGUCACCAGCAAAGUUGAAAGAAGGAGUGAGCGGGUGGCGGAAAGGGGUCUCCCGCAGAACAUCGGCGCCAGUGAGGAAGGGGCUGUAAUGGCGCCUCAGUUUGGUGAAGUGGGGCUCAGCAUAGGCAAACCCAUUUGGGCCUGUUGUCUUGUUUUAACUGUAAUGAAUAAAGGCUAUUUCGCUCUGUUUACCUGCUUCUUGUUUCUUGCCCCGCCCCGUCACUUAAGCCCCGUGAGGGCCAGGACCAUGUCUAACUUACCUUCAUCCCCACACCUAGCACAGUGUCUGGCACAUAACAAGUGCCCAGUAAAUAUUUGUUUUAAGAAAGAAAAUGAAAGAAUGAGCAUUAUAGAUGUUUCUUCCAUUGCCAGCAUCCUUUCCUGCUUUUGCCAAUUCUAUCACCUCCAUCUUUCAUCACAUUUUGCCUGGAUUUUCUUCCAUUUCCUGUUUUCAUGGAAUAUAGCAUUAGGGAGUAGAACAUUUAUUUUUGCUUUUUUUUUCGGUUUUCUUUUCCUUCCUCUUCAUGCUUUUAGCAUAUAAGAAUCAGUGUUGGGAUUCAGCUUUCUAGCCUACAACACUUUUUUUCUGAAACUUUCUCAACAGAAACUUGAGCUCUCUUGGUCUUUUCUUGUGCUUUCAUAUAAAUAAGACUUUUCUCUUCAAUAAAGAUGAAGGCUCUUUAAGAAGGGAAUUUCUUUUCUCUCUCAGAGAGUGGGUGGCUGAGUCCUGGGCAAGUAAGUUUCAAUAAAGAUGAGGGAGUUGAUCAGUCGUACUUUUAAAAAGCAAAUAAGACUUGAGUAUGCUGUGCUUAAAAUGUCAAAAAAUUCAAAACUAGCAGAUGCCGAAACUGUUACAACCCUACAGUGUACAAAAUUUAAUUAGCCAAGCACCUUUUGUGUAGAAACUCUGCGAGAAGCAAUCACAUAGUAAUAAUAUGUGUUGUCAAAAAUCCUGCAGAAUUGUUUCCUGUAGAUGAGUCCCUCCUUAAAUGGAGGCCCUGAGGCCCUUCAUUUGGUGACACGUCUCUGCCCGCAUUUCUGCUUCCCGUCACUUCAGCAGGAUUAUAAUCAUAAAAAAGGCACACACCUUCAUCGGAACGUUAAGCUCGGCUCUCCCGCUGGUGGACGUUCUUGUGAUGAAGGCUGUGGCCAGAGGCGUGGUCAAAGGCCAUCGCGCCUGGAAGCAUCAUGCUCUGGGUUGGCCAUCUUGCUUAUCACUUACAGAUAGCCAAAUGCCUACAAAGUGAGCCCAAAAGAUGAUGGAAACUUUUGAUCCAGGAAAUAACUCACACAUUUGUUUUGCUUUGCUCUAAUCUUCAGAGCUGUGUAUCAUGCUGACAAGUCCCAGAUUUUUAAAAAACAGAUUUUCCUCUGGGUUUACCCCUUCUUUCAUGGCAGUAAUAUUUUCUCCUAUCUUCCAUCUUCUAAAAAAAGUAGGUAUAACAGUCUAAUCAGCCUUUACCAACUUUUCUGCAAGAACAAGGCAGAAAAUACGAAGAUAUAAAUCAAGAAUUGUUCUUGCUGUUUAUGUAGAAGUGAUCCAUGGCUCUGCUGGGCUCCAUGUGUCACGCGGCCACUUGGAAAUCACAGAAGGCUGCUCAGGCACAAGCGAUUUGUUUCUGAGUCCUGUGCUUGGAUAUUCCUAAUAAAUGUUGUUCUGCCUCUGAUUCUACGAUCUCAACAAGGGACCCACGCAAUAAAAUAUGUUCAGAGUCCUGGUACCAAGUCCACACUGUGAAACGAAGAUAACGUCCCGAAACGUCAAGAACGCUUUGCUGAAAACGCUGGCUACCCGCUGUCCAGCCUCGCCCUGUGCCUAGGCCAGGCUACUCUGCCGCACGCCGCACGCCGCACGCCGCACGCCACUCUGCCGCACGCCGCACGCCGCACGCCGCACGCCGCACGCCGCACGCCGCACGCCGCACGCCAGGGGAAGCAAGUAGCAGAUCCUUCUGUUCCCUGUGGGAAAUAGGGUUCUCGUUGGAGUCCCAGCUGGCUCCGACUCCAGUCCUAUUCCCACCUGGCUCCUGACUCCUGGCUUUUCCUCCUGUCUAAAGCCAUGUGAUUCCCUCAGGUCACCCUAAAGACUUGGUCUGAACUCAAUCUUCCAGCUCUGAAGAGUGUUGACUUCCUUCAGGCCACAAACCCAUGUAACAGCCUCCAUGCCCUCCCACCCCACCCAAACUCUUUCCCCCACUGCCUUAUUUCAAAAUGGUUAAAGAAAGCAAGACUGAAAGCUGCCUCUUUAUUGUAACAACUCCACCAUCUCACCUCUCAGUGCCUCAUGCUGCUGUCUUAUUUGGGAACAGAACUCAUGUGAAAUGGUAGAGAAGGCUGGACCAAAAGACGCAAUGUUGUGGUGUUUAGAGCAGUGGCCCCAGGUCAAACACCUUGGAGACAUUCAGCUGUAUGAACCAGAAUGACCACAUGUGUCCAUUGUUUAUGGCUAGAGUCUGUCUUGACCAGUCAGUACCCAUGCCUUAUCAGUUAAAUGUUUUGAUAUCAUCUUCACAUCCUAAGAGUAGAGUUGUAGUGUUGUAAAUUGACAGUACUUACAAGAAAUCUGAACCUGAGUAUGACUUAGGGUCUGCUAUUUACCUUCUCUAAGCCUUAGUUUACACAUGGGGAAAAAGGGGGCACCAAUACUGCCUUACCCACUUCAAACAGUUACCGUGAUGAUCAAAUUGUCAUAGCAGAUGCAGACGUUCUCUGUAAAUUGUGAGAGACUGUGCCUAGCCAAGGAAUGAUGAUAAAAAUGUUUGACUAUGAUGAUAACAACAUUAGUGGUGAAGGUCAACGUGACGGGGAUAAUAAAGAAUGAA